rnacentral:rRNA from 1 species
UACGUAGGGUGCAAGCGUUGUCCGGAAUUAUUAGGCGUAAAGAGCUCGUAGGCGGUCUGUCGCGUCGGCUGUGAAAACCCGGGGCUCAACUCCGGGCCUGCAGUCGAUACGGGCAGACUAGAGUUCGGCAGGGGAGACUGGAAUUCCUGGUGUAGCGGUGAAAUGCGCAGAUAUCAGGAGGAACACCGGCGGCGAAGGCGGCACUCUGGGCCGGUACUGACGCUGAGGAGCGAAAGCGUGGGUAGCAAACAGG